UACGGGGGGGGCAAGCGUUGUUCGGAAUUACUGGGCGUAAAGGGCGCGUAGGCGGCUUUUCAAGUCAGGGGUGAAAUCCGGCAGCUCAACUGUCGAAGUGCCCUUGAUACUGAUGAGCUCGAGGGAGGUAGGGGUGUGUGGAACUUCCGGUGGAGCGGUGAAAUGCGUUGAUAUCGGAAGGAACGCCGGUGGCGAAAGCGACGCACUGGACCUCUUCUGACGCUGAGGCGCGAAAGCUAGGGGAGCAAACGGG
rnacentral:rRNA from 1 species